GACGAACGCUGGCGGCGUGCUUAACACAUGCAAGUCGAACGGAAAGGCCUGCUUUCCCUUGUGGAUUGCGGGUACUCGAGUGGCGAACGGGUGAGUAACACGUGAGUGAUCUGCCCCCAACUUGGGUAUAAGCCUGGGAAACUGGGUCUAAUUCCCGAUAGGACUGCAGGGUGGUGCCUGUGGUGGAAAACGAUUUUCUAGUGGUUGGGGAUGAGCUCGCGGCCUAUCAGCUUGUUGGUGGGGUAAUGGACUACCAAGGCGGCGACGGGUAGCCGGCCUGAGAGGGUGGACGGCCACAUUGGGACUGAGAUACGGCCCAGACUCCUACGGGAGGCAGCAGUGGGGAGUAUUGCACCAUGGGCGGGAGCCUGAUGCAGCGACGCCGCGUGGGGGAUGACGGCCUUCGGGUUGUAAACUCCUUUCGACCGCGAGGAAGCCACCUGGUUGGAAGGGUGGUGACGGUAGUGGUAGAAGAAGCACCGGCUAACUACGUG
rnacentral:rRNA from 1 species